CCUACGGGUGGCUGCAGUAGGGAAUAUUGCUCAAUGGGGGAAACCCUGAAGCAGCAACGCCGCGUGGAGGAUGAAGGUUUUCGGAUUGUAAACUCCUUUUGUUAGAGAAGAUAAUGACGGUAUCUAACGAAUAAGCACCGGCUAACUCCGUGCCAGCAGCCGCGGUAAUACGGAGGGUGCAAGCGUUACUCGGAAUCACUGGGCGUAAAGAGCGCGUAGGCGGGAUAGCAAGUCAGAUGUGAAAUCCUAUGGCUUAACCAUAGAACUGCAUUUGAAACUGGCAAACUGGAGUGUGUGAGAGGAUAGUGGAAUUCCAGGUGUAGGAGUGAAAUCCGUAGAUAUCUGGAGGAACAUCAGUGGCGAAGGCGACUAUCUGGCACAUAACUGACGCUGAGGAGCGAAAGCGUGGGUAGCAAACAGGAUUAGAUACCCUAGUAGUC
rnacentral:rRNA from 1 species